rnacentral:lncRNA from 1 species
AGCGAACCACCAAAGCCACAUACAAUUUCUUGAUAUUUCUCUAUGUGUUUACAUAUGCACAUAUGAACUGAAAUAUUUAUAAACUGAGUGUUUAAUUUGCAAGAAAAGAAAUUCAGAUUUGAUUAAGCAAUUACAGAUUACAGUAUGAGAAUGAUAUGUGCUAAGAAUGCUAUGUGUGAACUGAUUUGAGGCUUGACUGCUGUGUGUGCGUGUGAGUCGAGGUCAGGGAACGGCAGCCGCGGUGGCUGCCGGUGGUCGACGGAAGGCGGCUCCCCGCCGUGGUUCCGAUCUGCCAAAGGAAGGAACAGAGGAGAGGGUUUUCAAAUUUUAAUUUAGAAAAGGGAAGGGAUGAGGGAAGGAAAAAGAAAAGGAGAGAAAGGAAAUUAGGGCUUACCUUUAAAUUCAACGGACGACGGAGGCGGCGGCUCCUGGCCGUCUGUCCACCGGCGAAGGGGAGGACGACGCGGCAGCGCGGUGGUGGUGUCUGCGUGCGCGCGUGUGAGUGUGUGUGAGUCAGUGCGAAAUUGAGAGAAGGUGAGAACGAGCGAAGGGAGGAAAGGUGGUGGCCGUGGUCUUGACGCGGCAGCGGAUCUGCCGCGAAGACGACGGAGGCAGCGGCGGCGCACCGCUUUGACGGCGGCGUGCGUCCUGUUUACGGCGGAUAGACAGACAGAGGCGAGAGGGUGAGAGAGGACCAGAGAGUUUAGGAAGAAGAGAGUGCCGAGAGAGAGAGGGAGAGCCGCGCCGCUCGCCGGCGGCGACGGCGCCGAUGAACGCAGCGGCAGCGGACAAUUCGUCCGAGAGAGAGAGAGUGUUGGGGAAGGAGGCUAUGUGUGUGUGCGUGUGAUGUAGGAAGAAGGAAUAAGAGAAAUAGGGUUUAGGUAUUGGGAGUGGGCUUGAGAAUUGGGCCUAUGAUGGGCCGAUUUUUAAUUAAAUUGGCUGGGCUUGAGUGUUGGGCUUUAGGUUUGGGUUUGGAGUGGGCUCGAGUCAUGGGCCGAAUUUCAAUUAGUCAUGGGCCGAAUUUCAAUUAGUUUUGGGCCGAGUCAUGGGCCGAAUUUUUAUGAGUAUUUGGGCCGAGAUUUUUAUUUUUUUUUAUUUCGGUUGGGCCUUCUUUAAUUUAAUUGUUUGGGCCUUAUUCAAAGAAAAAUAUGAUGGGCUUAAUUUAUCUAAUUAAUUUGGGCUUAUAUCCAUUUAAAGUAUUUGAGCUCUUAAUUAUUAAUUUAAAUUGAGCUUGAUUAAUUUAAUUGUAUAUUAACCUUUAAAUUAAUUAUUUAAAUGGAGUUCAUUUAUUUCCAGUAUUUUUAUAAGUGGACUUUUAAAAUAAAAUAUUUUGAGUUAAAACUCUUAUUUAAUGAAUUCUUUUCAAAUGGCUUAUUAAUAUGGAUUAUGUGAAAAUGAUUAAAUGAUU